UGGGGAAUUUUGGACAAUGGGCGAAAGCCUGAUCCAGCAAUGCCGCGUGUGUGAAGAAGGCCUUCGGGUUGUAAAGCACUUUUGUCCGGAAAGAAAUCCUUGGCUCUAAUACAGUCGGGGGAUGACGGUACCGGAAGAAUAAGCACCGGCUAACUACGUGCCAGCAGCCGCGGUAAUACGUAGGGUGCAAGCGUUAAUCGGAAUUACUGGGCGUAAAGCGUGCGCAGGCGGUUUGCUAAGACCGAUGUGAAAUCCCCGGGCUCAACCUGGGAACUGCAUUGGUGACUGGCAGGCUAGAGUAUGGCAGAGGGGGGUAGAAUUCCACGUGUAGCAGUGAAAUGCGUAGAGAUGUGGAGGAAUACCGAUGGCGAAGGCAGCCCCCUGGGCCAAUACUGACGCUCAUGCACGAAAGCGUGGGGAGCAAACAGGAUUAGAUACCCUGGUAGUCCACGCCCUAAAUGAUGUCAACUAGUUGUUGGGGAUUCAUUUCCUUAGUAACGUAGCUAACGCGUGAAGUUGACCGCCUGGGGAGUACGGUCGCAAGAUUAAAACUCAAAGGAAUUGACGGGGUCAU
rnacentral:rRNA from 1 species